AUUGAACGCUGGCGGCAGGCCUAACACAUGCAAGUCGAACGGUAACAGGAAACAGCUUGCUGUUUCGCUGACGAGUGGCGGACGGGUGAGUAAUGUCUGGGAAACUGCCUGAUGGAGGGGGAUAACUACUGGAAACGGUAGCUAAUACCGCAUAACGUCGCAAGACCAAAGAGGGGGACCCUCGGGCCUCUUGCCAUCGGAUGUGCCCAGAUGGGAUUAGCUUGUUGGUGGGGUAACGGCUCACCAAGGCGACGAUCCCUAGCUGGUCUGAGAGGAUGACCAGCCGCACUGGAACUGAGACACGGUCCAGACUCCUACGGGAGGCAGCAGUGGGGAAUAUUGCACAAUGGGCGCAAGCCUGAUGCAGCCAUGCCGCGUGUAUGAAGAAGGCCUUCGGGUUGUAAAGUACUUUCAGCGGGGAGGAAGGGAGUAAAGUUAAUACCUUUGCUCAUUGACGUUACCCGCAGAAGAAGCACCGGCUAACUCCGUG
rnacentral:rRNA from 1 species